ACAGACGUCGACUCCAGCAAAAAUGUCCUGACUGACUUCAGGAGAGAGGAAUUAUUGCUACGUGCCUCUUUCCCAGUGAAGAAAAUCUCUGUUGGCUGCGAGCAGAGAAGCGGCGGAAGGAUUCCCGACUCCGGGAAGCCAGGUGUCGGAAGGAGGAAGUACGCUUGAAGGGGGUCCGGCUGGCCGACUCUGCACUCGUCCGUUCGUGGCCCACCGUGGUGGUCACCAAAUUGAGGGCUUCCUGGAAGGACCUCCUCACGGUGCCCAUCCACUGGGUCAUGUGGGUCUGGGCCACUGUGAGUUUAUCUCCCAGCUGUCUCUCCCUCCCUCUCUGGAAGGCAACACUGAUCCAGGAUCUCACUCUGUUGCCCAGGCUGGACUGCAGUGGCAUGAUCACAGCUCACUGCAGCCUUGGCCUCCCAGGCUCAAGCGAUCCUCCCACCUCAGCCUCCUCGGUAGCUAGGACUACAGGUGGAGCAACACCGUCAGUCAGAAGGCAGCGGAUGGCACAGGGCUUCCGCGUAAGGCCUGCAUCGCCUGAGUCAUGGUUUUCUCAUCUUGUAUGAGGCCCACCCCCUUCAAAAGGUUGUGACAAAAAAAACAACUGAGAUAAUUUGUGCCGCUGGCACAUAGUUAACACUCAAUAAGGCCGGGCGCAGUGGCUUACACCUCUAAUCCCAGCACUUUGGGAGGCUGAGGCAGGUGGAUCACUUGAGGCCAGGAGUUCGAUACCAGCCUGACCAACAUGGUGAAACCCCAUCUCAACUAAAAAUACAAAAAUUAGCCAGGCAUGGUGGUGUGCACCUGUAGUCCCAGCUACUUGGGAGCCUGAGGCAGGAGCAUCUCUUGAACCCGGGAGGUGGAGGUUGCAGUGAGCGGAGAUGGCACCACUGCACUCCAGCCUGGGCGACAGAACAAGACUCUGUCUCAAAACAACAACAACAACAAAAUAAUAAAUGGUGACCACAAGGGA
rnacentral:lncRNA from 10 species